UUGCGANUGGGCGAAGCCUGACGCAGCGACGCCGCGUGGGGGAUGAAGGCCUUCGGGUUGUAAACCUCUUUCAGCAGGGACGAAGCGAGAGUGACGGUACCUGCAGAAGAAGCGCCGGCUAACUACGUGCCAGCAGCCGCGGUAACACGUAGGGCGCAAGCGUUGUCCGGAAUUAUUGGGCGUAAAGAGCUCGUAGGCGGUCUGUUGCGUCCGCUGUGAAAUCUCGGGGCUUAACCCCGAGCCUGCAGUGGAUACGGGCAGACUAGAGGUAGGUAGGGGAGAAUGGAAUUCCCGGUGUAGCGGUGAAAUGCGCAGAUAUCGGGAGGAACACCGGUGGCGAAGGCGGUUCUCUGGGCCUUACCUGACGCUGAGGAGCGAAAGCGUGGGGAGCAAACAGGAUUAGAUACCCUGGUAGUCCACGCCGUAAACGUUGGGCGCUAGGUGUGGGAUCCUUCCACGGAUUCCGUGCCGCAGCUAACGCAUUAAGCGCCCCGCCUGGGGAGUACGGCCGCAAGGCUAAAACUCAAAGAAAUUGACGGA
rnacentral:rRNA from 1 species